GGGCUCGACCGGAAUAGACAGGAUGGAUGAUAAGUGUGUAAGCAUGCAGCGCAAUGAGGAUUCAGCGCUUAAAUAUUGAUUCUCAAAACACAACAGGCGAAAAUAACUACGCUCUUGCUGCUUAAUCUUAACGAGUUAAGAUUUGCUUAGUCGUACUUUAGAAGUACGAGCGAGAUGUUUCCCGAAGGCCAAGUCUGGCGGCAAUCGAUCAGGAAGCACAGAAAUGCUAGAAUAAGGAAGACUAAGUUUCGGAGUCUUCACGAAAAUUUAAGAAAAUAAGGAGUAACCAGAUUUUUUAUGGUCAAGUUGCUCACGAAAACCAACCAUAAAAUAAGCAUGUAGAAAGCGCAACUGGUCCCAUGUUUGGACGAGGGUUCGAAUCCCUCCGGGUCCACAU
rfam:Pedobacter sp. CCM 8644 NODE_3_length_510043_cov_114.143_ID_5, whole genome shotgun sequence.